rnacentral:misc_RNA from 1 species
GGGAAUCAAUUCAAAGCUCAGCAAUGUUAGCAGCCGCCUUCCAACGGUAAAUCACAUCCUUGCUGGAAUAAAGAGGAAAAAGUCAAUGGAUACCAUAAUACUUUCCCUGGUUGCAUCAGUGUGCACUUUUCUUAUCUUUAUUUAUUGGUUGACAAAGUAAGAAUGUCAUGUUGUGUUCCUAGAGGGUGCCUGUGGUGACACAACCCUAUCCUUGACUUUUGACGUUCUUUCUUUGAUUAAAGAGGGUUGUGGGUUUUGUCAAGUCCACAGUGAUAUCAUUGGUGGAUAAUACGUCGUAUUUUCAUCUUCAUAAUAGUAAUGAUAUGCCUUGUAAAUGUCAACACAAAAUUUGUUUGGACAAGAUGGUUAAUAGGAGGCUGAAACUGAGGCAUCAAAGGGAUUACUCUUAAACUCUGUAGUGGCCUUGGAUUAGCCUGGGAUAUCAAAUAAGCUGUAAUUUGUGAUGCAAUUCAUGAAAGGUGCAUAUGGUUCAAAUUCGUAACAACAUUUGGAUUAUGGACAGGGAUGGUAAUCACAUUUGAUAGAUCAAGAGAUCAAGGUGUAUGAUUUCAGAAAAGAUGGGCUACUAGUGCAGUUAUUGUGUAGCAUAAUGGUUGCUUGCAUUUGAUGUUCUGGGUGCAUCAAUUUGGUUUUGGAAAUAAUCUCAGGACAGUAUUAUUGUAGUCGGAACUUACUGUUCAUUGUUAGAGUUCUCAAAUCUCAAAUAGCAUUUUUUUUGAGGUGUUGACACUC